AUUUUUUUGUAUUUUUAGGGAUUAAUUUCUACUACUAAUUAAUGUAUUAUCAAUAACAGCCCAAUUAAAUGUAAAAAUCAAAUGGAAUCAAUUAAUUCUGAACCUGCCAGACCACGUAGCGACCCCAAUUAACACCAAACCAGCCCACUAACAUCCCCUUAAUGCUAAAUUAAGUUUGUUUGUAAUAAAAUCCAAUUAAAAUACACUCAGUACUCAUUUUUAUAAGUACUCAAAUAUACGUUCCUUUUCAUUUCAUCUUAUGUUACUAAUUCAAUCAAUCAUCAAUAUAUAUUACAUAGAAAAGGUGAUGUGGCACUUCUCUUUGGCCUCCAAUAGUAUUUAUCUUUUUUUCUCAAUUUUUUGACAUUUUUCCUAUUUUUCUUCACCUAUGUGCUAUUAAAAAAUAUUGAAAAGUCUCUUCUUAAAAUAAUUGCUCAAUAUUAACUACCAUUUGAUUUUGUUUUCCUAUCUUUAACAACCUUUAAGACCACCAUUAUCAUUUCAGUUAAAAAGAAUAUGGCACCGAAGAAUCCCUUCAAACAAUCCUUUUUAUAGAGGAACUCUAAACGUGAGUUUUUGCAGCCAUAGUUCGAAGGAAAAGAAGAAAUCUAAAGUUUCUCUGCAGUGGAGGCAGAAUAUUUUGUGACAUCUCUCAUUCAUGAACGCUAAACUACAAAAAGGACUUCGUCAUCUGAGGAGGAUUGAGAAAAACAUGUAAUUGAUUAACAAUGACUUUAAGUCUUUAAUAAAGAUGAAAUGAUGGUGCGGUCAGGAAAUGGGCCGAAGAGAUUGCAGUGGAGGCAGAAGCAGUGGCAAUGCAGUAAGAUUAGAUUCUGCACAAAUAUUUGGGUUCGCACUUGGAAUUGUUACAUGUAAUAAUAGAAACACCAAAAUUAAUUGAAUUCUCGAAAACUUAUCUUUUUUUUUUUUAAUGCUAUGAUAAUAUACACUGUUUCUCUUCCUGCUAAAAUUUGGGCAAUGAUGGCUCAAUUUUUUGUGGAGUUAGGGUGAG